AAGGCUGAGCUGUGAUGGGGAAGCUCCUUAUGGAGCGAAGUCUUUGAUUCCCCGCUGCCAAGAAAAGCUUCUAGCGAGAUAAAAGGUGCCUGUACCGCAAACCGACACAGGUAGGCGAGGAGAGAAUCCUAAGGUGUGCGAGAGAACUCUGGUUAAGGAACUCGGCAAAAUGACCCCGUAACUUCGGGAGAAGGGGUGCUUUCUUAACGGAAAGCCGCAGUGAAUAGGCCCAAGCGACUGUUUAGCAAAAACACAGGUCUCUGCGAAGCCGUAAGGCGAAGUAUAGGGGCUGACACCUGCCCGGUGCUGGAAGGUUAAGGAGAGGGGUUAGCGUAAGCGAAGCUCUGAACUGAAGCCCCAGUAAACGGCGGCCGUAACUAUAACGGUCCUAAGGUAGCGAAAUUCCUUGUCGGGUAAGUUCCGACCCGCACGAAAGGUGUAACGAUUUGGGCACUGUCUCAACCAGAGACUCGGUGAAAUUAUAGUACCUGUGAAGAUGCAGGUUACCCGCGACAGGACGGAAAGACCCCGUGGAGCUUUACUGUAGCCUGAUAUUGAAUUUUGGUACAGUUUGUACAGGAUAGGCGGGAGCCAUUGAAACCGGAGCGCUAGCUUCGGUGGAGGCGCUGGUGGGAUACCGCCCUGACUGUAUUGAAAUUCUAACCUACGGGUCUUAUCGACCCGGGAGACAGUGUCAGGUGGGCAGUUUGACUGGGGCGGUCGCCUCCUAAAGUGUAACGGAGGCGCCCAAAGGUUCCCUCAGAAUGGUUGGAAAUCAUUCGUAGAGUGCAAAGGCAUAAGGGAGCUUGACUGCGAGACCUACAAGUCGAGCAGGGACGAAAGUCGGGCUUAGUGAUCCGGUGGUUCCGCAUGGAAGGGCCAUCGCUCAACGGAUAAAAGCUACCCCGGGGAUAACAGGCUUAUCUCCCCCAAGAGUCCACAUCGACGGGGAGGUUUGGCACCUCGAUGUCGGCUCAUCGCAUCCUGGGGCUGUAGUCGGUCCCAAGGGUUGGGCUGUUCGCCCAUUAAAGCGGUACGCGAGCUGGGUUCAGAACGUCGUGAGACAGUUCGGUCCCUAUCCGUCGUGGGCGUAGGAAAUUUGAGAGGAGCUG
rnacentral:rRNA from 1 species